rnacentral:misc_RNA from 1 species
GUAAAGCAUGAGAUCGCUGGAGAGUGAGUACGUGCUUGGUCUUCACUAAUCACUAUUCACUGUAUUCUUCUUUCCUCAUCUUCCCGCCGGGUCUCGGCCGUUUUUAAAUGUCCUAGUUCAUAAACCCUAGAUUCUCAAGCCCACCUUCUCUCUUCUAUCUAUCCAAAUCCAACUCCGCCUUAAAAUUUUCGUCGGGAAUCGCGCUUCAUCUGAGGCUCUCUUCUCAGGCUAGAAGCUAAUGAAUUUUGAUCUUGGAAUCAAUUGAUGGGUAGAGUGUAUAAUGGAAGCAAUAAUUCCACCAAAACUUCUGAAGAGCAAGAAACUCGAACGAAAGUACUUGAAUUUUUGGUGACAAAGAAUUUUGCUCAAAAAAUUCAAAAGAUAAGGUCCAAGGGGUUUCUUUUGGAGCGACGAGUUAGCCCAAGACUUAAAAACAUACCCAAAGAUAAAAGACCAUAUUAUGGCUGCAAUCAAACGAGGCAAUUAUGUGGCAGCGGAAAAACUGAAGAUGAUGAUGAGAAGACGCAAAUUGAUUCUCCUGAAGAUAGUGCUGGCACCAACAAAGAUAAAGUUGGCAUUAAUGCAAGAAAGAACCUCUCUCAGCAUGUUCCAAAGAAAAGAUCAGAGGGAGUUUUCUUGGAGCGAAGAGUUAGCCCUAGGCUUAAAGAUAUAUCUGCAGACAAAAGACCAUAUUAUGGCAGUGUUCAGAGGCAGAAGAUACAUGGUCCUACAGAUUAUGCACGGUACAGAAAAACUGAAGAUAAUGAUUGGAAGAGGCCAUUGGAUUCUCCCAAAGAUAAUGCUGGAAAGGAAAAAACUAAAGCUGACAUUACAUUUACAAAGAACACUGUGCAACGAGUUCCAAACAUAAGGUCAGAUGGAUAUCUUUUGAAGCAAAGAGUUAGCCCAAGACUUAAAAAUACACCUGCAGAUAAAAGACCAUUUUAUGGUAGAGAUCAAAGGAGGCAGCUGGCUGCUAUUAAAUAUGACCUCCGUGAAAGAAAAAAUAAAAAUGAUAACCAGAUGAGUCUGCUACAUUAUCCUGAUGGUAAUGUUAAUGAGAGAAAAAGUAAAGUUGAUCACUUGAUACAAGAACAUCUACUUGAUUUGACUAGAAAAGAUGCUGAAGAUAGAGGUAGCAAAAGUGAUUUUGUCCUUGGCUUUGCACCUGUUGAGCAUGGUGAUACACCAAUUAUGGAUUUAAAAGAGGGAGCUCAUUUGGAAUGCGCAAGUUGUGAAAGUUUUCUUGCUGACAGUAUGCAUCAAACGUGUAGUGCAAGGGUGAUGGCUGUUUCCCCUUUGAUGUUAAAAUGCAAAGGUAUCAAUAAUUGGGGUCAGAAUUCUAGCAAGAAAGAAACUGAAAAUGACGUAUUUGAUGUUAACAUGAUAAAGAAAAUUGGGCAACAAUUUCAAAAGUUAACUCUUUUAGAGCGAAGAGUUAGUCCAAGACUUAAAAAUAUACCCAAAGAGAAAAGACCAUAUUAUGGCAGUAAUUCGAAGGUGCAGUUAAAUGCUGCUAAAGAUUAUGUCUGCAACAACAAUGAUCAGAAGAGGCAAUUCCAUUGUCCUGAAGAUAACACUAAGAAGAAAAAAACUAAAGUCAAUCACUCAACGCAGCAAAGUCUAUCAAAAGUGUCUGUGAAAAAUACAUAUGAUAGAGAUUCUGAAAGUCUGAUGGCCUCUGGUUUUGGACUUGUUAAAUGCAAAAGUAUGGAAAUAAUGAGUUUAGAAAAUGGUGCUUAUGUGAAAUCAAUGGACCAUAAGAGGUUGUUAUCCAAUCAUAUGCGUCACAAGGCUGGUGCAAAGGAUUGCAUUGAACCGGAGAGUGUGUCUAAAGAUUAUUCUAAAUUGCCAGGGUAUGGAAUCUUUGAAUGAAUAACAUUACUUUUUUUAUGUGCAUCAUAUGUAUUGUGCAAACUUACAAAAGUUUUCUAUGUUCCAAGCUUGGUGUGUGAGGACAUAUCUUAUGGUGAAGAAGAUAUACCUAUUCCUGUUACAAAUAUGAUUGAUCCUCCUAUUGCUCCUGCAGGGUUUAAAUAUACCAACUCUAUUCACAUUGCAACAAAUGUGAGCAUUCCCCCGAGUCCUUCUGGAUGCAAUUGCAAAGGAAACUGUACUAAUCCAAAGUCUUGUUCCUGUGCUCGACUUAAUGGCUCUGACUUCCCAUAUGUGCGCAAAGAUGGUGGCAGAUUGACUGAACCAAAGGAUGUGGUGUUUGAAUGUGGUCCAGGAUGUGGAUGUGGACCAAAUUGCAUCAACCGUAUAUCACAGCGGGGGUUGAAGUACCGACUUGAGGUAUACCGUACACUGAACAAGGGAUGGGCCGUUAGGUCUUGGGACUUCAUUCCUUCUGGGGCUCCAGUGUGUGAAUACACAGGAAUUCUUAGGAGGAGUGCAGAGUUAGAUAAUGUCUCAGAGAAUGAGUUCAUUUUUCAGAUUGAUUGCUGGCAUACAAUGAAUGGGAUAGGGCGAAGAGAGAGGCGACAAGGUGGUGUGUCUCGUCAUGCACGUAAUCUCAUAAAGAAAUUGGAUAAAGCAGAAACCGAGUCAGAGUUUUGCAUAGAUGGAGUUUCCUGUGGUAAUGUUACCAGAUUUAUUAAUCAUAGCUGUGAGCCUAACCUAUUUGUCCAGUGUAUUUUAAGCUCCCACCAUGACAUUAGACUUGCUCAGAUUGUGCUAUUUGCUGCAGAUGACAUACCUCCUAUGCAGGAACUCGCAUAUGACUAUGGUUUUGAACUUGAUAGUGUUAUUGGUCCUGAUGGGAAAAUAAAAAAAUUGCCAUGCUAUUGCGGUUCAAGUGAAUGUCGGGGGCGAUUAUACUAGGCACAGCAAAAGUUUCUAAAUUCAGGUUAUAUUCCAUUCACAGAGCAGUUUUGUUGAUGAUCUUCUUCUUCUUCUUCUUCUU